rnacentral:rRNA from 1 species
UCAGGACGAACGCUGGCGGCGUGCCUAAUACAUGCAAGUCGAGCGCAGGAAGCUCACGGAACUCUUCGGAGGGAAGUGAAGGGAAUGAGCGGCGGACGGGUGAGUAACACGUAAGGAACCUGCCCCAAGGAUUGGGAUAACUCCGAGAAAUCGGAGCUAAUACCGAAUAGUUCUUCAGACCGCAUGGUCUGAUGAUGAAAGGCGCUUCGGCGUCACCUUGGGAUGGCCUUGCGGUGCAUUAGCUAGUUGGUGGGGUAAUGGCCCACCAAGGCGACGAUGCAUAGCCGACCUGAGAGGGUGAUCGGCCACACUGGGACUGAGACACGGCCCAGACUCCUACGGGAGGCAGCAGUAGGGAAUCUUCCACAAUGGACGAAAGUCUGAUGGAGCAACGCCGCGUGAGUGAUGAAGGUUUUCGGAUCGUAAAACUCUGUUGUAAGGGAAGAACAAGUAC